rnacentral:sRNA from 1 species
AGUAUAUCGAGGGCAACCUACACGGCCUGGUUCCCUGGCCCAAUGAUUUAAUCUACGCUGGACACUCUUAACUCUACGGGAGAAGCAGAGGCUAUAAUGUGUAACGGUCCUUUUUAAAUCCACAUACGAUAUCUAACUAUAAUCCUCUUGUAAUCUAUGCCAGUACAACCUGUAGUGCCUUGAGAAAAUAUAAAGAACAAGAAAAUAAAAAAUGAAAAAUGAAAAAUGACAAAUCGCCGAAGUGGAAACAAUUAAACCAUGCUCGUUACCCACUAGACGCCGCAUCAAUUCAUGCAGUCAUAAACAUUCGAAAAGAUAAUCCCCCUUAUAUCAUAACCACC